UACGGAGGGGACUAGCGUUGUUCGGAAUUACUGGGCGUAAAGCGCACGUAGGCGGCCUUCUAAGUCGAACGUGAAAUCCCCGGGCUCAACCCGGGAACUGCGUCCGAUACUGGAAGGCUUGAAUCCGGGAGAGGGAUGCGGAAUUCCAGGUGUAGCGGUGAAAUGCGUAGAUAUCUGGAGGAACACCGGUGGCGAAGGCGGCAUCCUGGACCGGUAUUGACGCUGAGGCGCGAAAGCCAGGGGAGCAAACGGG
rnacentral:rRNA from 1 species